UUAGGAUUCGGCGCUCUCACCGC
rnacentral:piRNA from 2 species